GAUCCCUCGGAGCUGUAUAACUCAAGAAACUCAGGUAUGAUGAAUGACUGGUUAUUAUUUUUCUGUCAAACCGUCAGAUUUGUUGUGAGCUUCGAAACUCCAUUUUCUCUUGUUCAGAUCGGUAUGCUUUCUUUAUUGAAGUUGUUCCUCAGCUUGUGAACUACAACAUAUCCAAAUUUGAGAUCCCUCGGAGCUGUAUAACUCAAGAAACUCAGGUAUGAUGAAUGACUGGUUAUUAUUUGUCUGUCAACCCAUCAGAUUUGUUGUGAGUUGCGAAACUCCAUUUUCUCUUGUUCAGAUCGGUAUGCUUUCUUCAUUGAAGUUGUUCAUCAUCGACUCUUUCAUAACAUAUCAAAAAUUCAGGAUGAACUAACGGUUAAAUAUUUCCAGAUCUUCGAAACAUCACAACAGCUUCGAAAUCUGCAAGAAGCCGACUAUCAUGUUUGGAGCUUCAACACUUUAAUUUCCGUCGCUCAAAAAGAAAUGGUUCCUUCUUGAAAGUUGUUCAUAUGCUCAAGAACUAUAGGGUGUCCAAAAUUCAGCUCC
rnacentral:lncRNA from 1 species